UACAGGGGGUGCAAACGUUGCUCGGAAUUAUUGGGCGUAAAGAGCUCGUAGGCGGCUUGUCGCGUCGUCUGUGAAAUCCCGCGGCUCAACUGCGGGCUGGCAGUCGAUACGGGCAGGCUGGAGUUCGGUAGGGGAGACUGGAAUUCCUGGUGUAGCGGUGAAAUGCGCAGAUAUCAGGAGGAACACCGGUGGCGAAGGCGGGUCUCUGGACCGGUAUCGACGCUGAGGCGCGAAAGCUAGGGGAGCAAACGGG
rnacentral:rRNA from 1 species